ensembl:lncRNA
UUUUCACAAGUUACAAUGUCGUAUUUUUCGUGUACUUGGGGUGAAUGUCUAUUUCUGUUCAAGAAUCCCUUUCGACGUGCGAAGCCUACUCCACCUCCGUCAUGCAGCCCCCAGCUCCCCUGCCUCCUCUCCAGCGCCAGCUUCAGCACCAGUACCAACUCGGACACCGACCCUGUCAACAUCAACCUCCAGCACGUCACAGCAACGUCUUAUCACUGGCAAGAGGAAAAGGGGCAACAGAAAAUUGGACCUUCCAAGUGUACUUGUGGAGAUGCGGGCUGAGAAGGAGCGGAACCGGCACCCAGCAUGAUGAGAACAUCUGGUUGCUCCUCAGCGAGGCAAGAGAGAAUGAAGCGGCCUUGCAGCGGGAGGAGAUGGUCCAGAAUGCUGCCUUCAACCAGUCAUUCCUGGGUGUACUGGGGCAGCUGGUGCAGGCAGUGCUGGGUGUACUGGGGCAGCUGGUGCAGGCAGUGGGCAGCCAGUGAGUCCACCUCCCAGAGACUUGAGAUUUAGUUGUAUAUAGUUUUACUUUUAGCCCUCCACUGUAGGAGAGGCCCACCACAGUUUGUACUUUGCACAUUGUAAAUAGUUUUGAUUUUGCUGCUGACUAAUAAACUAUUU